rnacentral:rRNA from 1 species
GAGGUCGGGAGAGGGAUGUGGAAUUCCAGGUGUAGCGGUGAAAUGCGUAGAUAUCUGGAGGAACACCGGUGGCGAAGGCGACAUCCUGGACCGGUAUUGACGCUGAGGCGCGAAAGCCAGGGGAGCAAACGGGAUUAGAUACCCCGGUAGUCCUGGCCCUAAACGAUGAAUGCUUGGUGUGGCGGGUAUCGAUCCCUGCCGUGCCGAAGCUAACGCAUUAAGCAUUCCGCCUGGGGAGUACGGUCGCAAGGCUGAAACUCAAAUGAAUUGACGG